CAGUCGCCGCGGUAAUACGGAGGAUCCGAGCGUUAUCCGGAAUUAUUGGGUUUAAAGGGUGCGUAGGCGGACAGAUAAGUCAGUGGUGAAAGACGGUGGCUCAACCAUCGCAGUGCCGUUGAUACUGUUUGUCUUGAAUAUGGAUGAGGUAGGCGGAAUGUGGCAAGUAGCGGUGAAAUGCAUAGAUAUGCCACAGAACACCGAUUGCGAAGGCAGCUUACCAAGGCAAUAUUGACGCUGAGGCACGAAAGCGUGGGGAUCGAACAGGAUUAGAUACCCGGGUAGUCCCUGUCUCUUAUAC
rnacentral:rRNA from 1 species